rnacentral:rRNA from 1 species
CACGUAGGGGGCGAGCGUUGUCCGGAUUUAUUGGGCGUAAAGAGCUCGUAGGCGGCUCAGUAAGUCAGGUGUGAAAACUCCAGGCUCAACCUGGAGACGCCACCUGAUACUGCUGUGGCUAGAGUCCGGUAGGGGAGCAUGGAAUUCCUGGUGUAGCGGUGAAAUGCGCAGAUAUCAGGAAGAACACCAAUGGCGAAGGCAGCUCUCUGGGACGGUACUGACGCUGAGACGCGAAAGCGUGGGGAGCGAACAGG